rnacentral:rRNA from 1 species
GAGUUUGAUCAUGGCUCAGGAUGAACGCUAGCGGCAGGCUUAACACAUGCAAGUCGAGGGGUAGAGUAGCAAUACUUGAGACCGGCGCACGGGUGCGUAACGCGUAUGCAACCUACCUUUUACAGAGGGAUAGCCCAGAGAAAUUUGGAUUAAUACCUCAUAGUAUAUGUCUUUCGCAUGUUAGACAUAUUAAAGUUCCAACGGUAAAAGAUGGGCAUGCGUCCUAUUAGCUAGAUGGUAAGGUAACGGCUUACCAUGGCAACGAUAGGUAGGGGUCCUGAGAGGGAGAUCCCCCACACUGGUACUGAGACACGGACCAGACUCCUACGGGAGGCAGCAGUGAGGAAUAUUGGACAAUGGGCGCAAGCCUGAUCCAGCCAUGCCGCGUGCAGGAAGACGGUCCUAUGGAUUGUAAACUGCUUUUGUACGGGAAGAAACACUCCCUCGUGAGGGAGCUUGACGGUACCGUAAGAAUAAGGAUCGGCUAACUCCGUGCCAGCCG